GGGUUGUGAGGUUAAGUGACUAAGCGUACACGGUGGAUGCCUAGGCAGUCAGAGGCGAUGAAGGGCGUGCUAAUCUGCGAUAAGUGUCGGUAAGGUGAUAUGAACCGUUAUAACCGGCAAUACCCGAAUGGGGAAACCCAGUGCAAUCCGUUGCACUAUCCUGUCAUGAAUACAUAGUGGCAGGAGGCGAACCGGGGGAACUGAAACAUCUAAGUACCCCGAGGAAAAGAAAUCAACCGAGAUUCCCCUAGUAGCGGCGAGCGAACGGGGAGGAGCCCAGAACCUGAAUCAGGUUAUGUGUUAGUGGAAGCGUCUGGAAAGUCGCAGGGUACAGGGUGAUACUCCCGUACACUAAAAUGCAUAAUGUGUGAGUUCGAUGAGUAGGGCGGGACACGUGACAUCCUGUCUGAAUAUGGGGGGACCAUCCUCCAAGGCUAAAUACUCCUGACUGACCGAUAGUGAACCAGUACCGUGAGGGAAAGGCGAAAAGAACCCCGGCGAGGGGAGUGAAAUAGAACCUGAAACCGUGUACGUACAAGCAGUGGGAGCACCUUCGUGGUGUGACUGCGUACCUUUUGUAUAAUGGGUCAGCGACUUAUAUUUUGUAGCAAGGUUAACCGAAUAGGGGAGCCGUAGGGAAACCGAGUCUUAACUGGGCGUCAAGUUGCAAGGUAUAGACCCGAAACCCGGUGAUCUAGCCAUGGGCAGGUUGAAGGUUGGGUAACACUAACUGGAGGACCGAACCGACUAAUGUUGAAAAAUUAGCGGAUGACUUGUGGCUGGGGGUGAAAGGCCAAUCAAACCGGGAGAUAGCUGGUUCUCCCCGAAAGCUAUUUAGGUAGCGCCUCGUGAACUCAUCUUCGGGGUAGAGCACUGUUUCGACUAGGGGGUCAUCCCGACUUACCAACUCGAUGCAAACUCCGAAUACCGAAGAAUGUUAUCACGGGAGACACACGGCGGGUGCUAACGUCCGUCGUGAAGAGGGAAACAACCCAGACCGCCAGCUAAGGUCCCAAAGUCAUGGUUAAGUGGGAAACGAUGUGGGAAGGCAUAGACAGCCAGGAUGUUGGCUUAGAAGCAGCCAUCAUUUAAAGAAAGCGUAAUAGCUCACUGGUCGAGUCGGCCUGCGCGGAAGAUGUAACGGGGCUAAACCAUGCACCGAAGCUGCGGCAGCGAACGUAUCACCCAAGACAAUUUCACUGAUGUGGAUAACGAUUGAUGGCGCGAAGCGACAUCAAUGCGCCCUACAAAGGUCGAGUUGGCUUAGGGAUACGUUCGUUGGGUAGGGGAGCGUUCUGUAAGCCGUUGAAGGUGAACUGUGAGGUUUGCUGGAGGUAUCAGAAGUGCGAAUGCUGACAUAAGUAACGAUAAUGCGGGUGAAAAACCCGCACGCCGGAAGACCAAGGGUUCCUGUCCAACGUUAAUCGGGGCAGGGUGAGUCGACCCCUAAGGCGAGGCCGAAAGGCGUAGUCGAUGGGAAACAGGUUAAUAUUCCUGUACUUGGUGUUACUGCGAAGGGGGGACGAAGAAGGCUAGGCUAUCCGGGCGACGGUUGUCCCGGUUUAAGCGUGUAGGUGGAGUGAUUAGGUAAAUCCGGUCGCUUAUUAACACUGAGGCGUGAUGACGAGUCUCUACGGAGAUGAAGUAGUUGAUGCCACACUUCCAGGAAAAGCCUCUAAGCACCAGGUAACAUUAAAUCGUACCCCAAACCGACACAGGUGGUCAGGUAGAGAAUACUCAGGCGCUUGAGAGAACUCGGGUGAAGGAACUAGGCAAAAUGGUGCCGUAACUUCGGGAGAAGGCACGCUGACGCUAGGUGAAGAGACUUGCUCUCGGAGCUGAAGUCAGUCGAAGAUACCAGCUGGCUGCAACUGUUUAUUAAAAACACAGCACUGUGCAAACACGAAAGUGGACGUAUACGGUGUGACGCCUGCCCGGUGCUGGAAGGUUAAUUGAUGGGGUUAGCCGCAAGGCGAAGCUCUUGAUCGAAGCCCCAGUAAACGGCGGCCGUAACUAUAACGGUCCUAAGGUAGCGAAAUUCCUUGUCGGGUAAGUUCCGACCUGCACGAAUGGCGUAAUGAUGGCCAGGCUGUCUCCACCCGAGACUCAGUGAAAUUGAACUCGCAGUGAAGAUGCUGUGUACCCGCGGCAAGACGGAAAGACCCCGUGAACCUUUACUAUAGCUUGACACUGAACAUUGAGCCUUGAUGUGUAGGAUAGGUGGGAGGCUUUGAAGCGUGGACGCCAGUCUGCGUGGAGCCAACCUUGAAAUACCACCCUUUAAUGUUUGAUGUUCUAACUUUGGCCCCUAAUCGGGGUUGAGGACAGUGUCUGGUGGGUAGUUUGACUGGGGCGGUCUCCUCCUAAAGAGUAACGGAGGAGCACGAAGGUUAGCUAAUCACGGUCGGACAUCGUGAGGUUAGUGCAAUGGCAUAAGCUAGCUUGACUGCGAGAGUGACGGCUCGAGCAGGUACGAAAGUAGGUCAUAGUGAUCCGGUGGUUCUGAAUGGAAGGGCCAUCGCUCAACGGAUAAAAGGUACUCCGGGGAUAACAGGCUGAUACCGCCCAAGAGUUCAUAUCGACGGCGGUGUUUGGCACCUCGAUGUCGGCUCAUCACAUCCUGGGGCUGAAGUAGGUCCCAAGGGUACGGCUGUUCGCCGUUUAAAGUGGUACGCGAGCUGGGUUUAGAACGUCGUGAGACAGUUCGGUCCCUAUCUGCCGUGGGCGUUGGAAGAUUGAGAGGGGUUGCUCCUAGUACGAGAGGACCGGAGUGAACGCACCACUGGUGUUCGGGUUGUCAUGCCAAUGGCAUUGCCCGGUAGCUACGUGCGGAAAAGAUAACCGCUGAAAGCAUCUAAGCGGGAAACUUGCCUCAAGAUGAGUCUUCCCUGGGCCUUAAAGGUCCCUGAAGGAACGUUUGAGACUAAGACGUUGAUAGGCUGGGUGUGUAAGCAUAGCGAUAUGUUGAGCUAACCAGUACUAAUGAUCCGUGAGGCUUAACCUUACAACACCCAAGGUGUU
rnacentral:rRNA from 1 species